rnacentral:lncRNA from 1 species
UGAGAAAUGAGAUAGUCAAAAAUUUGCUAAGUCCCAGAAGAGUAGCUCUCGGGAACCGGUCCCUGCCUGAGAGACCGGUCCCCGAGAGAUCGAUCCCCCAGAGAGAGACCGGUUGCAUUGCGCGCGGCAGCUCUGGCUGCGCUGGGACGAGCUUCGGGAACCGAUCCCUGAUGGAGAGACCGGUCCCCGCCUGCGCGAACAGCCCAGUCCAGGCUGUGUGAAAGAGUAAAAGUUGAGGGGUUUAAUUGCAUUUUUGCAACCCAUUGAGCUAUGUAUGGGGACAAAUGAGAUAUUUCUCUCAUUUUCACCCUCUCAUCCCCUUUCAUCUCUCUCUCUCUCUAGAAGACAAGAAGGAGAAGAAGAAGAGAAGGAAAAAGAAGGAAAAGAAGAGGAAGAAAGUGAAGAAGAAGGCAAGGAGAAGAAGAAAACCUCUCCUCUCCUUCUCUAGCUUGGAAAAGGAGCAAGCUUAGAGGUAGGCCUUGCCCCCUUUCAUGAUAAAUCCUAAACUAGGGUUUGGGUAAGCUAGGAAUUGGUUUUUAUAGAACCUUUAGAGUAUGUGAAGCUUUCAUUUUGCUUCUUUUGAGAUCAAAACCAUGGAAUGGUGGUAGUGGUGAAGCUUGAAUGAAAGCUUCCACCUCCUCUCAUGGUGAAACCCUAAAAUGGGUUUUAGUAAAGCUAAGAAAGGUUUAGAUGGACUCUUUAGAGUAUAAUGAAGCUACUUUUGCUUCCCAUUGAGAUCAAACCCUAGGUUUGAUAUAUGCAAUGGAGCUAGGGCACCCAAAUUGGGGCUUUUGCUUGCGAGAGUUCGAAAGCACAAUUGACCCUCUAGAAACCUAAUUGGGGGUAUUUCCGACGCGUUGGUGCGCUCGGAUUAACGUUACCAAAUGCCAAUGUAAAGAUAUGGGCAAAAUGGCCUAAGUUGGCUUCGUUUUGCCGCAGGUGAAAAACGAGGAGUCUAGAAAUCUCAAGAAAACCGUCGGAGCACCUAAGUAAGCCUACGAGGUAGGUGGUGCUUUUCAAACUCGUUGAACUUUCCUCUAUGCCUAAUGUAAGGUACCGGACUUCUAAAACUAUGAAGUUACGGUGUACAUUUAAAUGGCUCCGGUGAGGUUGCGGCGGAAUGUAACAUACCGGAUUUUAAAUAUAAAAGUGAAAAUAAAUAAAAAUAGUAUGAGAUACUAUUUUUAUUGGAUUUAGAGAAGUGAAAUAUAAGUUGGGAAUGACCUGUGCUGAAAUCGGAACGACAACAGAAGAUUUAGAAUUUUCUGUAAGAAACGGGGCAGAUAAAUUAGCAGAAAAUGCACAGUGUCAGAAAAUUAUGAAAAUUAUCGGAGAUGUCAGAAAUAUUUUUAUGAUGCUAGAUUUAAAGUUCCAUGCCAUUCUGACACCCGGAAGGUGAAAAGUAGAAUCCGAAAGCUACUGAUAAAGAUUACAGUUCGGUACAGUUUUCGGUGACCAAACGGGGUUGAAACUGAAAUAUUAAAAUUUCUUUGGACUCGUUAAGUGAGACCGAACAUGACUGUCAAAUUUGAGCUCAAACGGAUAUUCAGGGAGUUCCGGCGAAAGAUAUCAGAUUUCGAACUGCCUGGAGUGAAUAGUGUUUUGGGGGAGUUUACUUGGAGGUUAAGUUUCCUCUUAUACAUAUAUAAGGGUGUUAUGUCAUUUCCCUCAUUCCUCUCUAUUUGAGCCAACAUAAGAGAAAUCUCUCUCUCUCUACCAAAGAAAGAAUUGGAGAAGAAAAUUGAGGCAAGCUUGAAGAAAAUUGAAGUAGCUUGGAGUUGAAGCUUCAUCUUUAUCUUCUCUUUCCUUGGUCUAAGUGGAAGCUUGUGUUUGAGGUAAGCUUCAUGAACCUCUAAUGGUGGAUUGCUAGGAAAUAAUAUAUAUAUCCUAGAAAUAGAUUUAGAGGACUCCCUAGAUGCUAAGUAGAAGCUAUUUGCUUGAAUUAAAGGCUAAUAUGGCUAUUCUUGCAAUAGUAGCAUAUUAGAGCUCCAAAUUGGGGUUUUUGCUUGUGAGGGGUUUUGAUCUAAAUUGAUCAUGUAUAAACCUAAUUGCUAGGUAAACGAACGCGUUGGCGAAGUCGGUUCGGCGAUUCGUCGAGCCUACGCGAAGUUAUUAAAGAAACGGACGUUAGGUUUCGUUUCCGCCUGGAGGGCCGAGGCGACGUCGUAAAAUCAUGGAAAUGGAUUUGAGGCAUCGUGGCGCAUAACCGAAGACCUAUAAUUUUCGGGGCUGCGAAGCGGAGCACGGUUGAGGCGCAGUUGCAGUAUCGGGCCGUGCCGGAUACGGGUGCCGCGGGAGGCCGAUUGCAAGUGUCGACAAGCAAUCGGAACGCGAAUUAAGGUGGGUUGUGCUUACCGAAGCGACUAGGUCGCCCUUUAUGUCUAAGAAACUAAGAAUCCAUGUUGAUGCAUAUAAAUGUAAAUGAAGCAUGUAAAUUAUGCAUGUAGCUAAAUAAUGCAUGUUGAUAGUAUGAUGUAAAUGCUAAAUAGAAUUCAUUAUGAGCAAGUUGAAUAAUGGUAGAUAAUUAUGUGAAUGCCAAGUAGUGAGCAUGUAAAAGUAAAGUUGUAUGCAUGAUGAUUAUGACAUGUAGAUGCUAAGUAAACGCAUGAACGCAUGAGUAGCAUGAUGGUAAUAUACAAGAUAAAUGUUGCAUGAAAACUAGGUUGAUAACCUUAAAAUGAUUAAAGUAAAGGAUGCUAUGCUAAAGUAUAAGUGAUAAGCAUGAUAUAAGAAUAGUAAAUGCAAGUGCAUGUUAAGAAUGCUAAGUAAGGAACAUAUAUAGGUGGACAUGAAUAAACCUAUAGAUCGAGUGGCAUUAAACCUAGUGUCGAGGACAUAGGUUAAACAAAUGUGAUGUUGAACCUAAUGUAAAGAACAUAGGUUGUGAAAUGAAAGCUGCUUAACCUAGAGUCAAGUGAACCUAGGUUGGAAAAGAAUGAUGAUCCUAGUGUAAUAAACCUAGGUUAAGAAUGUGAAAGCAAUAAACCUAAAGUGAUAACUUAGGUUGUGUAAAGGACAAUGAACCUAGAGUCAAUUGGACCUAGGAGAUAAAAGCUUAGACCUAGAGAGGUCAGUUCCAUAGGGUUAAGACCAACCCUUGGUUAAUGUGAUAUGGAUUCCGGAAUCCCAAAGCUUGCUGAUGCACCCAAAGUGGUGUGGGGUGUGUGCGACGAUUUCGCCGCCCAGGGGCUAGAAAACCAUUGUCGUGGCGUGUGUGCGACGAUUUCGCCGCCGGAUGGUUAGCCAGUUUGUG